CGGAUGAACGCUAGCUACAGGCUUAACACAUGCAAGUCGAGGGGUAACGAGAGGGAAGCUUGCUUUCCUUGUCGACGACCGGCGCACGGGUGAGUAACACGUAUCCAACCUGCCCAUGACCAGGGAAUAACCCGCGGAAACGCGGCCUAAUGCCCUAUGUGCUCCGAAGAGGACAUCCGAUUUGGAGUAAAGAUUGAUCGGUCAUGGAUGGGGAUGCGUCCGAUUAGGUAGUAGGCGGGGCAACGGCCCACCUAGCCUGCGAUCGGUAGGGGUUCUGAGAGGAAGGUCCCCCACAUUGGAACUGAGACACGGUCCAAACUCCUACGGGAGGCAGCAGUGAGGAAUAUUGGUCAAUGGGCGAGAGCCUGAACCAGCCAAGUAGCGUGCAGGAUGACGGCCCUAUGGGUUGUAAACUGCUUUUAUGCGGGGAUAAAGUGCUCCACGUGUGGGGCAUUGCAGGUACCGCACGAAUAAGGACCGGCUAAUUCCGUG
rnacentral:rRNA from 1 species